CAGCAGCCGGGUAAUACGUAGGGUGCAAGCGUUAAUCGGAAUUACUGGGCGUAAAGCGUGCGCAGGCGGUUAUAUAAGACAGAUGUGAAAUCCCCGGGCUCAACCUGGGAACUGCAUUUGUGACUGUAUAGCUAGAGUACGGCAGAGGGGGAUGGAAUUCCGCGUGUAGCAGUGAAAUGCGUAGAUAUGCGGAGGAACACCGAUGGCGAAGGCAAUCCCCUGGGCCUGUACUGACGCUCAUGCACGAAAGCGUGGGGAGCAAACAGGAUUAGAUACCCCUGUAGUCCCUGUCUCUUAUACC
rnacentral:rRNA from 1 species